ACGUCGCUCUCCUCCUCCUGGCGUGCCCACCGCCGCACCAUCAUCCCGACGGGGCUACUGACACCGAUCCCCCGCGCCCCGACGCCACAGGCCUCCACCACGCCAUUGUGCUUGGCCACCACCGAUUCCGUCGAUGUUCGCCAUCCGUGAGCCCACAUCCGUCUUUCCCAUUAUCUUAUUUCUUCACUUGCCCCCUUUAAAUACCUCACCAGGUGAUUUCUUUUGAUCUGUUGCCUUAUUAUUAAUUAAUAUAUGAGCCAAGAAAUCCGGAUUGGGUGAGAUUUCAUCCCAUUGGCUGCUGUUCCAGUCCCUAACGUGAUGAGUUUGUGACUCUCAUUGAUGGCAGGAUCGAUCCUGAUGCGUGGUCACCCAUCCCUGGCUGACGAGCUGGUGGCCAUGAGCAGAUGCACGACGACGUGCAACAACACCGAAAUGCCGAAUCAAGCAUCCAGCAGAGAGGACAAGUGCCGCAGCCCCUGCCCUCAGAUCGGAGACCCUUUCCACGAGAGCAUCUUUGGCGACCAUCAACAUUUGUGUGCGACGUAGCUCAAAUUGGGAUGUCGAUUGUUGCAAUCUGUAGCUCCGUGUUCCCUUUUCCUUCACGCAUCCUAAAUCUCAUGUGACUGAAGUUACCUUUGUUUUCAGGCGAUAGGAGUUAGCUUUGCCAUUCAGGCUAUAAGAGUUUACUUUAGGCAGCAGUUCAUGGAUUUCUUUCUCACGAUGUUUGUUUGGGCAAUUUGAGCUAUUCGACGUAGUGUCAAAUCUUGGUCAUUUCUUGAUAGAUCGUAACUAUAACAGUUUAUCUAGGUUGGAACAUUUUGUUCUCAUUGCGACGUGUUCAUAUUGUUCAUUUAGUUACCAAUGCUCUGUUCCAAUGCAGCAGGCUCCACCAUUGUUGCGGCGACGUAUCUCGUUCAUGGAGGGGGAUGACUACUUGAACAUAGAUUUCCAAAGCGCCAGAGUUCUAGCAUAUGCUAUCUAGUCCCUAACCGUGUCACUGUUUUUCCUUGAUCCCUCAUGAAUUCAGCUUCUCAGGAGUUUGUCCACCCAGAUGUUGAUGCCUAGAGGAAUAUGAUAGCAAGACUUCUGACAGCAACAUCACAGUUCAUCUUUUCAGAAAUUGUUUGCAUCGCUGCUUCAGAUACAAUGAAAAGAGAACUGGCUGCACACCUUUUAGUUUAGAUGGCUUCAAAAAAACUCUGCUGAUCCGAAGAAGUUUGAAUUGUUCUUCUGAUUCCAGAACAUACAAAUUGGUGAAAGCAUUGUGGAAGUAUUACUGCAACAAUUUUGCACGAUAACAUUAGUUGUAGUUACCACCAUUCUGUUUGAUA